GCAUCGGUGGUUUAGUGGUAUAAUUGCCGCCUGCCACGCGGCAGACCCGGGUUCGAUUCCCGGCCGAUGCA